rnacentral:rRNA from 1 species
CACUCCUGCGGGAGGCAGCAGUGGGGAAUUUUGGACAAUGGGCGAAAGCCUGAUCCAGCAAUGCCGCGUGAGUGAAGAAGGCCUUCGGGUUGUAAAGCUCUUUUGUCAGGGAAGAAACGGUGAAAGCUAAUAUCUUUUGCUAAUGACGGUACCUGAAGAAUAAGCACCGGCUAGCUACGUGCCAGCAGCCGCGGUAAUACGUAGGGUGCAAGCGUUAAUCGGAAUUACUGGGCGUAAAGCGUGUGCAGGCGGUUUUGUAAGUCUGAUGUGAAAUCCCCGGGCUCAACCUGGGAAUUGCAUUGGAGACUGCAAGGCUAGAAUCUGGCAGAGGGGGGUAGAAUUCCACGUGUAGCAGUGAAAUGCGUAGAUAUGUGGAGGAACACCGAUGGCGAAGGCAGCCCCCUGGGUCAAGAUUGACGCUCAUGCACGAAAGCGUGGGGAGCAAACAGGAUUAGAAACCCGUGUAGUCCCAUG